rnacentral:rRNA from 1 species
AUUGAACGCUGGCGGCAUGCUUUACACAUGCAAGUCGAACGGCAGCGCGGGCUUCGGCCUGGCGGCGAGUGGCGAACGGGUGAGUAAUACAUCAGAACGUGCCCAGUAGUGGGGGAUAGCUCGGCGAAAGCCGGAUUAAUACCGCAUACGACCUGAGGGUGAAAGCGGGGGAUCUUCGGACCUCGCGCUAUUUGAGCGGCCGAUGGCAGAUUAGCUAGUUGGUGGGGUAAAGGCCUACCAAGGCGACGAUCUGUAGCUGGUCUGAGAGGACGACCAGCCACACUGGAACUGAGACACGGCCCAGACUCCUACGGGAGGCAGCAGUGGGGAAUUUUGGACAAUGGGCGAAAGCCUGAUCCAGCAAUGCCGCGUGUGUGAUGAAGGCCUUCGGGUUGUAAAGCACUUUUGGCGGGAACGAAAAGGACUGUGCCAAUACCACGGUUCGAUGACGGUACCCGCAGAAUAAGCACCGGCUAACUACGUG